rnacentral:rRNA from 1 species
UACGGAGGGUGCGAGCGUUGUUCGGAAUCAUUGGGCGUAAAGGGCGUGUAGGUGGUCUGUUAAGUCAUGUGUGAAAGCCCUCAGCUCAACUGGGGAAGUGCGCAUGAAACUGACAGGCUAGAGUACCGAAGAGGAGGGUGGAAUUCCCGGUGUAGCGGUGAAAUUCGUAGAUAUCGGGAGGAACACCUGCGGCGAAGGCGGGUAGCUGGGCCGACACUGACGCUGAGGCGCGAAAGCCAGGGGAGCGAACGGG